rnacentral:lncRNA from 1 species
AAGAUGUUUUACUGAUGGAUUCUUUGCAUUGAGAAGUGUGGUUUGAAGUUAGGGGAAUAUUAUAGUCAUAAGACGAUUGAAACUGCAAAAGCAAUGAGAGGUUCGACUCUGACAUUAUGGUUGUGGUAGUAUCAAUGCCGUCAAGUGUUGCGAUGUAAUUCAUGUUUAGAUAAUCUGUCUAACAAAUACUUUUAAAUAGUUUGUUAGAAAUUACAAUUGUCUAACUUAAUUUUGGUUAGUUGCAUAACUUGGUUGAGACAUGGAAGACAGAAGCAAAUUGAAAAAGGAUUUCCUUUUUUAAAGGAAUAAGUAAACAAUGACAAAUUAGAACUUGAAUAUUGCAGAAUUAAGGUGCAAUUGGUUGAUAUUCUAACAAAGCUAUUGAAGAAAGUUUGAUGAUUUGAAGAAGCUUAUAAGAAUGAGAAGAUGGUGUGUUGAGUUGUAGUUCAUCUUUAGAUAAAUUAUUUAACAAAUAUGAUAUCUGCUUAAUUAGAAGUUACAAUUGGUUAUUUUGAUGAUUAAUUUAGUUUUGAUAUUGCUGAACAAGUUGUGUUUGUUGUGAGUUGGUUGAGACACUUUCUAUAUAACUGAUUUGUCCAUAAU